rnacentral:rRNA from 1 species
AAGUCGACCGCCUGGGGAGUACGGCCGCAAGGUUAAAACUCAAAUGAAUUGACGGGGGCCCGCACAAGCGGUGGAGCAUGUGGUUUAAUUCGAUGCAACGCGAAGAACCUUCCUACUCUUGACAUCCAGAGAACUUAGCAGAGAUGCUUUGGUGCUUCGGGAACUCUGAGACAGGUGCUGCAUGGCUGUCGUCAGCUCGUGUUGUGAAAUGUUGGGUUAAGUCCCGCAACGAGCGCAACCCUUAUCCUUUGUUGCCAGCGGUUCGGCCGGGAACUCAAAGGAGACUGCCAGUGAUAAACUGGAGGAAGGUGGGGAUGACGUCAAGUCAUCAUGGCCCUUACGAGUAGGGCUACACACGUGCUACAAUGGCGCAUACAAAGAGAAGCGACCUCGCGAGAGCAAGCGGACCUCAUAAAGUGCGUCGUAGUCCGGAUUGGAGUCUGCAACUCGACUCCAUGAAGUCGGAAUCGCUAGUAAUCGUGGAUCAGAAUGCCACGGUGAAUACGUUCCCGGGCCUGUACACACCGCCCGUCACACCAUGGGAGUGGGUGCAAAAGAAGUAGGU